UGAGUAACACGUGAGAAAUCUGCCCCUGACUCUGGGAUAACUGCGGGAAACUGUAGCUAAUACCGGAUACUUUCCCUGGUGGGCAUCCACCGGGGAAGAAAGAAUUUCGGUCAGGGAGGAUCUCGCGGCCUAUCAGCUAGUUGGUGAGGUAACGGCUCACCAAGGCGACGACGGGUAACCGGCCUGAGAGGGUGACCGGUCACACUGGGACUGAGACACGGCCCAGACUCCUACGGGAGGCAGCAGUGGGGAAUAUUGCACAAUGGGCGCAAGCCUGAUGCAGCAACGCCGCGUGAGGGAUGAAGGCCUUCGGGUUGUAAACCUCUUUUAGCAGGGAAGAAGCGAAAGUGACGGUACCUGCAGAAAAAGCACCGGCUAACUACGUGCCAGCAGCCGCGGUAAUACGUAGGGUGCAAGCGUUGUCCGGAAUUAUUGGGCGUAAAGAGCUCGUAGGCGGUUUGUCGCGUCUGCUGUGAAAAUCCGAGGCUCAACCUCGGACCUGCAGUGGGUACGGGCAAACUAGAGUGCGGUAGGGGAGAUUGGAAUUCCUGGUGUAGCGGUGGAAUG
rnacentral:rRNA from 1 species